rnacentral:rRNA from 1 species
GAUGAACGCUGGCGGCGUGCCUAACACAUGCAAGUCGAACGAACGGACAGUAAGAUCUUUCCCCUACUGUUAGCGGCGGACGGGUGGGUGACGCAUACAUCACCAUCUUCUAAUUCUUGGGUGACUACGGAAGGCAACAUCCGCUACUACAUAAUACUUUCUACCGGUGAGUGCAGAGGAUAAUCACGCCUUUCGUGACUCUUAUAGCCGACGUCGGAUUAGCUAGUUGGCUUGGUAAAGGCACACCAAGGCAACGAUGCGUAGCCGGGCUGAGAGGAUGAUCGGCCACACUGGAACUGAGACACGGUCCAGACUCCUACGGGAGGCAGCAGUGGGGAAUAUUGGACAAUGGGCGAAAGCCUGACCGAGCAAUACCGCGUGGGUGAAGAAGGCCUUCGGGUUGUAAAGCCCUUUUGUUGGGAAAGAAAAGAAGCAGGUGAAUACGCGGAUGUUCUGACGGUACCCAAAGAAUAAGCACCGGCUAACUUCGUG